GAUCCUGGCUCAGGACGAACGUUGGCAGCGUGCCUAAGGUAUGCAAGUCGAGCGAUCCCGCUUGCGGGAGAGCGGCGAACGGGUGAGUAAUGUACAGAUAAUUUGCCUUUUUCUUGGAGAUAGCUUCGUGAAAGCGGAGGUAAUAUCCAAUGGUCCAUUAAGGUGCAAGUCCUUAAAUGGUAAAGGUCCGCCGGAAAAAGAUAAGUCUGUAUCCUAUCAGCUUGUUGGUGAGGUAAAGGCUCACCAAGGCUAUGACGGGUAGGGGGUGUGAGAGCACGACCCCCCACAGUGGCACUGAGAUACGGGCCACACUCCUACGGGAGGCAGCAAUUAGGAAUCUUGCGCAAUGGGCGAAAGCCUGACGCAGCGACGCUGCGUGGAGGACGAAUGUCUUUGGAUUGUAAACUCCUUUUAGUUGGGAGCAGGACGGAUAGUACCAACUGAAUAAGCACCUGCUAACUGCGUGCCAGAAGCAUCGGUGAUACGUAGGGUGCGAACGUUGUCCGGAAUUACUGGGCGUAAAGCGAGUGUAGGCUGUUAAAUAAGUUUUUUGUUAAAUCCCACAGCCUAACUGUGGAAAGGCAAGAAAUACUAUUUAGCUAGAGGGGGAGAGGGAAAAGCGGAACGUGUGGUGGAGCGGUUAUAUGUGUUGAUAUCACACGGAACACCGGAGGCGAAGGCGGCUUUUUGGCUCCUUCCUGACGCUAAGAAUCGAAAGCCAGGGUAGCAAAACGGAUUAAAUACCCGUGUACCCCUGGCUGUAAAUGAUGUAUGCUGGAUGGUAGCCUUCCUUUUUGAAUUUAAACCUUCAAAGGAGUUAGCGGGCGAAGCUUAACCCCGUUAGCAUACCCGCCUUAAGAGUAUGGUUCGCAAGGCUUGAUACUGAAAGGAAAUUGUUGGGGUACCCUGCACAAAGCGGGGGAUCAACGUGGUUUUAAUCCCGAGAAAUCUCCCCUAUUAACCUUAACCAGUGCUUGGAAAGGAUAAUGGCAGUUCUCUUCAAUAAAAUAAGGGUGCUCCCUUCCGAGAGGAACUCUCCCCACGUAUUUUGUAGUGCCCUGUCUUCAACUCUCAUGUCUCUGAAUAUAUUCCAGUUUAAUUCCGGGAUAAUAACGCUCCAACCCCCUAUCUCUAUAUAUUAAUGAUGUUCUAAAAACAUCGUCUGGGGUACAUACAACUUUAGAUAACUGCUGAAAAUUAACCCCUUGGUCGAUUCUAUGAUUCUCUACUCCUGGGUGCUACUCAAAUCUCCNCUAAUGACGUAAUAAUUAGUAUUAGUUCUCUCUCGCUAUAACUGUGAGACUAUUCAUUCUAUAAUAUUUAGCCUCUAUAGUGUAGAAUGUGGGAACACACCUCGCAUUAUACACACUUACAUACUGUACUACACGUAGAUUCAGAAUGGCAAUGAACACGAUAC
rnacentral:rRNA from 1 species